AAAGUGGGUGUAAAGCCAACUCACAAAUGACAUUUUAGAUGCUGAUGGGAGGAGAGGGAAAGGAGAGAGAAUUUUCCAAACCUGAAAAUAACCCUUGUCUCCAAAAGUCACAGGGCUCUGGUCCUGGAUGUCCACACUACAGACAUAUUAUUUUGAUCUCUGUUUAUUCUUGAACAAUUCAAGAUCUGAUGGCAGGAAAUUGUGGUUGAGACAGAGAGAAUAACUUUUUCCACAGGGUUCACCAUGUCUCAGUCUUCCUACCUGAGAAAGCCCUCCAGCAAUAACACCUCAAUAGGCCAUGAAAAGGAGCUCAUGACACUUCCCUAAGGGACAGAGAUCAUGCAAGGAAACAGCCUUUAAUGAACAGGAGAUAAGCACUGCAAGAGCACAGGACUAAGAGGUUGAGACAAGCUCUGAAGGCACUUUAUCUCAAUUCCACUACACCUCACCACCCAUGAACAAGGGACAUAGAGCUGGGACUGUCACUCACCACUCAGCAACAGCCCAUCUGUCCCAGGUCCCCUCCCUGAUGACUGAGUGUGGGAUGCAUCAUUACUGCAGGCUCUGGAUCCUGUGUGACACUCAGUAAUACUGUACUGCUCUUCCGAACAGCCCUGAACCCAGUGGGACUCACGUAUAUGGGAACUGCUCCUCUCACCCUCAGGAAAAAGGAAAGGGGAACUACUCAGGGCUGUGGUGAUGAGAUGCUUGGAAACAUCCCCAGCAAAGAUGUCCUCCACUUUCUGCUGGUCAUACAGAGUUAAUUCCUCCAGCACUUAAUAGCUUCUGUAUGAGAAUGAACUAAAUGAACACAGACUCUUCUAGAUGGGAAAGAGAUGAGUGAGGAAGACUAGUUAGGAGGCUGUAUGAUGAAGAAUGACACUGAGAUGGUGGUUACUCACUGAUCAAAGUCUCCUUUGAUACAAGGGCUUGGGGGAUUGAAAUGAAGUUGGAAAAUAGUAGGCCCAAAGUAAAUAAAAGUCAAGCAUUCUUCAAACAGCUGGUAACUAGUCUGUGAAAUGCCUCUCUACAGCAUCUUGUGAAAGUUAAUGUCUUUCAAGAGCAGCUGGACAUAUUAGCAAAAAAAAAGUCAAAAGUUGUUAGAUAUAAUCACCUUUGCCUUAUGAUGUUCCCUUUGUUGGAGGUGAGAAAAACAUUUUUGGGAAGUGCUACUAGCUUUUAGUUUCUCACAUUCUCUGGUUAUAUCUAGUUGUGGUCACUGUUGGAGCCAGCACCCUGGAGUUUUUCUGUAUGCUGACAAGUCUUUCCAUUUUACUUGAACCCUUUUCUGAAGGAUGAGCCACAUCAUGCCAAGGCUUUCUGAACAUAAGAUACUUGAAGGGGGCAGCAGACAAUAUGUUCCAGUGAUACGUGAUAAAAAUUGUCCAUAGACCUGCAUGACAGGGUGGUCAUCUCACAUGGGAUGUGUUAAACAGAUGAAAAGAUAUGGUCCUUAUCAGAGGGGCUGCUUUUGAUGAGGUGUUAAAGGUUCUGGGCUAAAAAAUUCUGUGCAACUGUGUGUGCCACUUGAUGCACAUCAUGGACAUAGAUGGUCCAUGCCAGCAGAAUAGUAUGUAGUCUGUACAAUGUGAAUAUGAGCUGGUCCCUACCAAUUGACCAUGGAUAGAUAUUUGUGCCCUUAAAUUGCUUUCAAAGUCUGCAUGGACAAAAAUCAAAAAAGCAAGUGACCAAGAGUUUUCUGAUGGACUAAAUACCAAAAUGGUGUUGUUCAAGGAUUAUUUCUUCCUAUAUUAAUAGAAAUGUUAUCCCAAGUAGGAAAAAAAAAAUUAAAUUAAUUGUGUUUCUCUUUCGAGUUCAAAAGUAAACAAGGCAUCGAGAAAAACAAGGGAAUUGUGUUGAAAUUACUACUGUUGUUAUUAGAAACAACUCUUUUGAGCCUGUGGCUAUGCUGGAGGGAGUAAUAAACAUUUCAAAAAUCAAGGGCUGAUUUACAAGUGCUGAGCAACUGUGGUAAAAAUUUCAAAGGAGCUCAUGACCUGUUCAAACUAUGAUUAACCUAUCUUUUGUUCUUAAAUUUAAAUGCUAUCAAUUUUACUUUUAGGAAAUGUUACUAAAGAAAGAAGUAUAGCCAAGACAAUAUUAUUUUCCCUGUACAACAUCUCUUCAUGUGGUCAGGUUUCACAUAGGGAAAAGGUGAUUAUGUUUUGCUUGCCUAAUAUAGAAUUUUAGGAAAAUGCAAACACAGAUCUUUUAAAUAUUCAGUAGUUUCCAUUCUGAAUAGAAAAAUGUAAAUAUUCUAUCUGAUUUAUUAAAGGUGUCAACAAAGCAAUCAUAAUCUGACAAUUUAAAGGAUUUGUUCAUGGUUAGCAUUCAUUUCGGUCUUUCCUUAAUCUCAGAUCAUGAUUGAAUCUAACUAACUUUUAUCUGACAUCAUGAAGAUUGGCCCUGUUCUAAGCAUGUUCCCUCUGUCAUUGAGAGAAAGGGAUAUUCUGAGCUCUGAAGGCCAAUGUGAAGAGAAAUAAUCUUGAACCACGGCAUUUGAUAAACAGUAUUUUUAUCACCCCCCCAAAAGUAAAUGGAUUUGGAGAUUAAGUGAUGAUUGCUAGAAAAAACUAGCUUAGAGGUUAUUCUUUAAAUGUGGUUAUUAUCUCAAGCCACCUGUAUUCAAGCUGUCUCAGAAUAUAGAGAAUGUGGGGUAAAAUUAUCCUUACAACAAUGAAAAGAAUUUGUUUAUGUAUGGCAUAUUCCUUAAUUGUGUGAAACAAUCAGGGGAAUAUUAAUUGCCUUCUUGAUGAAGAGACCAGCAGUUCAGUUACUUUUAGAAAAUAGUAAAAAUUACCUUCCUGAUGUAGCACAGAAUUCAUUCAAGCCUGUGAAAAUUUGUAUUAAUUCGAUAUAUCAUUGUUAUAAAAACUGCAUUGUACAUAGCUUAUGCAAUAAAGUGUAAUUUAGCACUA